rnacentral:rRNA from 1 species
GUGGGGAAUAUUGCACAAUGGGGGAAACCCUGAUGCAGCAACGCCGCGUGGAGGAUGACGCAUUUCGGUGUGUAAACUCCUUUUAUAAGGGAAGAUAAUGACGGUACCUUAUGAAUAAGCACCGGCUAACUCCGUGCCAGCAGCCGCGGUAAUACGGAGGGUGCAAGCGUUACUCGGAAUCACUGGGCGUAAAGGAUGCGUAGGCUGUAAUAUAAGUCAGAAGUGAAAUCCAACGGCUUAACCGUUGAACUGCUUUUGAAACUGUUUUACUAGAAUAUGGGAGAGGUAGAUGGAAUUGGUGGUGUAGGGGUAAAAUCCGUAGAUAUCACCAGGAAUACCGAUUGCGAAGGCGAUCUACUGGAACAUUAUUGACGCUGAGGCAUGAAAGCGUGGGGAGCAAACAGGAUUAGAAACCCCGGUAGUCC